CGAGUGGCGAACGGGUGAGUAACGCGUGAGGAACCUGCCUCAAAGAGGGGGACAACAGUUGGAAACGACUGCUAAUACCGCAUAAGCCCACGGGUCGGCAUCGACCAGAGGGAAAAGGAGCAAUCCGCUUUGAGAUGGCCUCGCGUCCGAUUAGCUAGUUGGUGAGGUAAUGGCCCACCAAGGCGACGAUCGGUAGCCGGACUGAGAGGUUGAACGGCCACAUUGGGACUGAGACACGGCCCAAACUCCUACGGGAGGCAGCAUG
rnacentral:rRNA from 1 species